UACGGGGGGAGCAAGCGUUGUUCGGAUUUACUGGGCGUAAAGGGCGCGUAGGCGGCCUCCGCAAGUCGACUGUGAAAUCUCCGGGCUUAACCCGGAAAGGUCAGCCGAAACUGCGGGGCUAGAGUGCAGAAGGGGCAACUGGAAUUCUCGGUGUAGCGGUGAAAUGCGUAGAUAUCGAGAGGAACACCUGCGGCGAAGGCGGGUUGCUGGGCUGACACUGACGCUGAAGCGCGAAAGCUAGGGGAGCGAACAGG
rnacentral:rRNA from 1 species